rnacentral:rRNA from 2 species
AGCAGCCGCGGUAAUUCCAGCUCCAAUAGCGUAUAUUAAAGUUGUUGCAGUUAAAAAGCUCGUAGUUGAAUUUCGGGAUCAAAUUGUCGGUCGUGCCUCGGUACGCACUGGUAUUAUUGGUUCCUACCUUCUGAAGAACCGCGAUGUCAUUAAUUUGGUGUCGUGGGGAAUCAGGACUGUUACUUUGAAAAAUUAGAGUGUUUAAAGCAGGCUUACGCUUGAAUACAUUAGCAUGGAAUAAUGAAAUAGGACGUUUGAUUCUAUUUUGUUGGUUUCUAGGAUUGACGUAAUGAUUAAUAGGGAUAGUUGGGGGCAUUAGUAUUCAAUUGUCAGAGGUGAAAUUCUUGGAUUUAUUGAAGACUAACUACUGCGAAAGCAUUUGCCAAGGAUGUUUUCAUUAAUCAAGAACGAAAGUUAGGGGAUCGAAGACGAUCAGAUACCGUCGUAGUC